rnacentral:rRNA from 1 species
UGGUGGAUUGAUUUGUCUGGUUUAUUCCGAUAACGAACGAGACUCUAUCCUACUAAAUAGAUUUUGGAUUUUUAAGUCCAGUAAACUUCUUAGAGGGAUAAGCGGUGUUUAACCGCACGAGAUUGAGCGAUAACA